UUCCCCCAAGGCGGUUGCCGCCUCGCCUCCGCCGCCGGUGCCCUCGCCGGCCGGCGGCGCCGCCGCGGGACGGCUCGCAGUUCGUUCCUGACCCGCUCCCGCGCCCUUUUCCGUACCCUUGUGUGUGUUUGUUCCCUCGAGAGAGAUGCCAAUUUUGGACGGACGGAUCAACUGCGCGUCGGCCGUGGUGAUGAAUUUCUGUGUCAGGGUUUGGAUCAGCAUGGGCGUGAUGGAGCCAGAUUUCACACGAUUUGGCAGACCAAGCUUGGCUGGGGCUUAGCCUGAGCUCAUGAAGCUAACUACACCAGAAAGGAAACGUGGCGGUGCGGACCGAUGUUACACAAGGGGCACAGUUAGGAAAAAUCAAUAGAACGGGCCAGCCGAUGGCACAUUCAGAGCUAAGCUAGUAGCACCAAGAGGAGUAGAGUCUUUUGAGGACCAGGACAUGGAAAACACACACACACACACGGGAGGGAGGGUAGUUACAAGAAAUGGCGCUUGAAGGAGGGGAGUGGCAUCAUCAUCUUGGCUGUAGAAGGGUCAAGACCACUAGUGCGGGAACUGAACCUAUAGCGACUCAUAAAUGGUAGCAAAUCCUACCAGCGCAGCAUCCGAUGUCAUGAGGUCUCACAUCUAGGAGAUGAUGAGGUGGCAUAGAUUGAGGGAUGUCUGAUGUUGGUGGCGGUGGUGAUGGCGAUGGUCGUGGUGUUAGUGGCGAGUCAAGCAUGGCUCAAGCUUGAGAGACCUUGAGUUAGCGCUUGUGGCAUUUCGUUUUCUUUCACCAAUGUGGACUACCCAUGUGGGAUUAGGAAAACAAACACUAUAUUGAGCCAAGUUGAUCUGGGAUCAGUUUUGACAGCUGAGGUGUUUUCCUUAGAUCAUCUUAGAGCUGCACAUUGAAACAUAGAAGCUAGUCGCAAAGUUCUUUUUCCUCAUUGUUUUUGCGUUAUAAAGUUAUUUUCCUUUUUUUUAUCAAGCCUAGUUAUAUGUGGCACAAAACCGUCGCUCUUAUAACAUUAUUAUUAAGUGCACACUUGUAUAA